rnacentral:lncRNA from 1 species
CUGUUUGCUGGAGUCUUUGUGAUGGUUGAUAUAAUUGCAAAGACAUUGUGGAGACCACAGUGGGCCUCUACAAUUCUUUUGGACUCCUGAGUAUGGUGCUUGGUUUCACAGUAACAUAUCAACUAAGAGCUACAGACAUACCCAAUGGCUUUGAGAAAUUUAUGCUGAGUUACGAAUGGGUUACAGCAUUCCAUUCACUUCUCUUGAUAUUACUGAUACUGCAGAUCAUUUUGUCCGUUUAGAAUUGCGUAGACGUAAUAUCCGGUGGCCUACUGUUCAUUUUAGCCACUUCUGCACUAUUGGUGUCUUGGCAAAAAUAAUUCUGGCGUUCUUUUCCCAACAGUUAGCCUGGGCUACUCUCGAAUACAGUUUC